rnacentral:rRNA from 1 species
AACGUAGGUGGCGAGCGUUAUCCGGAUUUACUGGGCGUAAAGCGUGUGCAGGUGGCCUGUUAAGUGGUGUAUGAAAUCGCCCGGCUCAACCGGGCGGGGUUAUGCCAGACUGGCAGGCUAGAGGGUGGGAGAGGGAUGUGGAAUUCCGCGUGUAGCAGUGAAAUGCGUAGAUAUGCGGAGGAACACCGAUGGCGAAGGCAAUCCCCUGGGCCUGCACUGACGCUCAUGCACGAAAGCGUGGGGAGCAAGCCGG